GUGGGGAAUAUUGGACAAUGGGCGCAAGCCUGAUCCAGCCAUGCCGCGUGAGUGAUGAAGGCCCUAGGGUUGUAAAGCUCUUUCACCGGAGAAGAUAAUGACGGUAUCCGGAGAAGAAGCCCCGGCUAACUUCGUGCCAGCAGCCGCGGUAAUACGAAGGGGGCUAGCGUUGUUCGGAAUUACUGGGCGUAAAGCGCACGUAGGCGGACAUUUAAGUCAGGGGUGAAAUCCCGGGGCUCAACCCCGGAACUGCCGUUGAUACUGGGUGUCUGGAGUAUGGAAGAGGUAAGUGGAAUUCCGAGUGUAGAGGUGAAAUUCGUAGAUAUUCGGAGGAACACCAGUGGCGAAGGCGGCUUACUGGUCCAUUACUGACGCUGAGGUGCGAAAGCGUGGGGAGCAAACAGGAUUAGAAACCCGGGUAGUCC
rnacentral:rRNA from 1 species